CUGGGCACAGCACCUAGUAGGUGGUGAGUAUGAAACUACAAGUGAAAGAGGCACCGGAAGAUACCGGUGUCUGGCUCUGGACACACACAGGGGCAGGGACCAGGAGUCAACUGGGGACAACCUUGCCCUUUCUUAUCAUCAGGAGGGACACCACCCUCUCGGUUCUCUUCUCUCUUCUCAAUCUCUGCCUGGUUUCCUCUGCCACCCAUGCCAACUGAACCCACCGAGAAAGCACUUCAAGAAAAGGCAGGAGUCCCAGAAAAUGACAGCUUUAGACUGACUUCAAGAACGUUCCCUUGAACGUUAUUUCAGGUGGAUGCAGCCCCAGGUGGAUGCAGCUGAAUGAGGGACCCCAGCACCUGCAAUGGACCAACCUCCCAGAGUCCUGUGGGAGCGGCUGCCUCCAGAUCUUGUUUCUCCUUUGAUCACUGUCCAAAGAGAUGUAUGGAGAAAAUAACGAAGUAAACGGUCCAGCCCCUAGGCUUGGCCUGAGUCCCGAGGAAGUCAGCUGGGCUGGACGGCUCGUGAGCCUCUGCUACAGACCAGAGUGACCCGGCUCGCCUAUAAAGAGCCAAGUGACACGAACUCAAACGCCAAGAGGCAAUAGAUCUAAGGAAUCUGUCUUUUCAUUGUUAUAAAAAAACAAACACCUGGGAAAAUGCUGCACACAAUGAAACAAUAUACUUUGAGGGGAACUCAUAAAGUCUUUACGAUGUUGCAUUUUGUGCUAUAGGG